CUCACUCCCACCCACGCACAGCCAGUGUGUGUGUGUUUGUGUGUCUCUCACUCCCACCCACGCACAGCCAGUGUGUGUGUGUGUGUGUCUCUCACUCCCACCCACGCACAGCCAGUGUGUGUGUGUGUGUGUCUCACUCCCACCCACGCACAGCCAGUGUGUGUGUGUGUGUGUGUCUCACUCCCACCCACGCACAGCCAGUGUGUGUGUGUGUGUGUGUCUCUCACUCCCACCCACGCACAGCCAGUGUGUGUGUGU